rnacentral:rRNA from 1 species
GACGAACGCUGGCGGCGCGCCUAACACAUGCCAGUCGAACGGAGUCAAGAGGAGCUUGCUUUUCUUGACUUAGUGGCGAACGGGUGAGUAACGCGUGAGUAACCUGCCCUGGAGUGGGGGACAACAGUUGGAAACGACUGCUAAUACCGCAUAAGCCCACGGAUCUGCAUGGAUCUGCGGGAAAAGGAUUUAUUCGCUCUAGGAUGGACUCGCGUCCAAUUAGCUAGUUGGUGAGGUAACGGCCCACCAAGGCGACGAUUGGUAGCCGGACUGAGAGGUUGAACGGCCACAUUGGGACUGAGACACGGCCCAGACUCCUACGGGAGGCAGCAGUGGGGGAUAUUGCACAAUGGGGGAAACCCUGAUGCAGCGACGCCGCGUGGAGGAAGAAGGUUUUCGGAUUGUAAAAUCCUGUCGUUAGGGACGAUAAUGACGGUACCUAACAAGAAAGCACCAGCUAACUACGUG